GGUCAUGGCUUAGUGGUAGAGCGCUCACCUUGUAUGUGCAAGACCCUGGGUUCGAUCCUCAGCACCA
rnacentral:tRNA from 1 species